GUAUAUUGUGUAAAAAAUGGCUUUAAAUAAACAAUUAUUUUUAAAAGAAAAAAUCGUUAUUACAUUAUUUGGUAUUUUAACAGUUUUUGUAUCAAUUAAUGGGCUUCCGGUUAAUUCACAAGAUCAAGCAAUGAUAUAUUUGUCACAAUUUGGUUACUUAAAUCCAGCUCUUAGAAAUCCUAGUUCCGGAAGUAUAUUAAGCGAAGAAUCAUGGACAAAAGCAAUUGCUGAGUUCCAAUCAUUUGCUGGCCUAAAUGUCACAGGUGAACUUGAUGAAGAAACAAGAAAAAUAAUGAGUCUACCUCGAUGUGGUGUGAAAGAUCGUGUAGGCUAUGGCACUGAUUCCCGAUCGAAACGAUAUGCCUUACAAGGAAGUAGAUGGAAGGUAAAAAAUUUAACUUAUAAAAUUAGUAAAUAUCCAAGAAAAUUACAACGUGGUGAAGUUGAUAAAGAAUUAUCACGAGCAUUUGCUGUAUGGUCUGAAUAUACAGAUUUAACAUUCACACAAAAGAAAGCAGGACAAGUUCAUAUUGAAAUACGUUUUGAGCGUGGAGAACAUGGUGACGGUGAUGCUUUUGAUGGUCCAGGUGGUACAUUAGCACAUGCAUAUUUCCCAGUAUAUGGCGGUGAUGCACAUUUCGAUGAUUCUGAAUAUUGGACGAUUAAUUCAUACCGUGGUACAAAUUUAUUCCAAGUAGCUGCUCAUGAAUUUGGACAUUCGCUUGGUCUUUCACAUUCCGAUAUUAAAUCAGCUUUAAUGGCUCCAUUUUACAGAGGGUACGAUCCAGCUUUUAGUUUGGACGACGACGAUAUUUCCGGAAUACAGGCUUUAUAUGGUAAGAAGUCUAGAAAAAAUAUCAAACCACCGGUAAGCAAUGACGAAGAUGAUGACGACGAUUUUAAUUCAAGUGGCACAAAUACAAACCGUAAAACAACUGAAUCACCAAAUAUUCAAGAUCCUAUCUUAUGUAGUGAUCCUAAAAUCGAUACAAUGUUUAAUUCAGCCGAAGGAGUCACAUACGCUUUUAAAGGCGAUUAUUAUUGGAAAUUAACAACUGAUUCAGUUGCUAAAGGCUAUCCAAAAUUAAUAUCAAAGAGUUGGCCAGGUUUACCAGGAAAUAUUGAUGCAGCCUUCACGUACAAAAAUGGUAAAACAUACUUCUUCAAAGGCUCACAAUAUUGGAGAUAUACUGGUAAACGAAUUGAUGGUGAUUAUCCAAAAGAUAUCUCUGAAGGAUUCACUGGUAUCCCAGACAAUUUGGAUGCAGCAUUAGUUUGGAGUGGUAAUGGAAAAAUUUACUUUUAUAAAGGUAGUAAAUUUUGGCGAUUUGAUCCUUCACAACGUCCACCAGUUAAAAGUACAUAUCCCAAACCAUUAUCAAACUGGGAAGGUAUUCCUGAUAACAUCGACGCUGCAUUACAUUAUACAAAUGGAUACACAUAUUUCUUCAAAGGAGGCGCUUACUACAGAUUUAACGAUCGUAUGUUUGCUGUUGAUCCAGCUGAUCCAGCUUUCCCACGUUCAACGGCAUAUUGGUGGUUUGGAUGCAAGAACGCAAAUCGGGGUACUAUUGGUAAAUCACUUUUAAUUAAUCCAUAUGAAAACAAUGAAUACAAUGAAGACGGAAGUCAUAGUGAUGUCAGUGAUAUUAUAUUAGAUGCAGGAGACUCCUCACCUAAAUGAGGAUCAUUAAAAGAUUUACAGGACUCUACAUCCGACAACGUACCUACCUAUACAAACGUUCCUAUUUUUAUUAAUCAUUAAUUAUCCUACGCCAUUAAUAUUGGAAGACCUAAGGACUGAUUUUAUUAUCGAAUAUAUAGGAAUUGAUGUUCAGACUUUUUUUAACUCGUUCCACGAUUCUGAAGAUUUAAGGCACUGAGUAUUAUGGCACUCAUCAUAAAUUUUCCUCAUCUGGCCGCCAUUUUGUGUGACAAAACUGGACCAAAUGAUUUGCCACCCGCACCAUCACCAACACAGCCGCCACAAUUUGAUGAAAGGAAUGUUCCUGGAAGUAGCGGAUACAGACUUAUGCCAUCCAUUGGAUUCAUUACGGUUCUAGCUACA